rnacentral:rRNA from 1 species
GUAGGGAAUCUUCGGCAAUGGACGAAAGUCUGACCGAGCAACGCCGCGUGAGUGAAGAAGGUUUUCGGAUCGUAAAACUCUGUUGUUAGAGAAGAACAAGGAUGAGAGUAGAACGUUCAUCCCUUGACGGUAUCUAACCAGAAAGCCACGGCUAACUACGUGCCAGCAGCCGCGGUAAUACGUAGGUGGCAAGCGUUGUCCGGAUUUAUUGGGCGUAAAGCGAGCGCAGGCGGUUUCUUAAGUCUGAUGUGAAAGCCCCCGGCUCAACCGGGGAGGGUCAUUGGAAACUGGGAGACUUGAGUGCAGAAGAGGAGAGUGGAAUUCCAUGUGUAGCGGUGAAAUGCGUAGAUAUAUGGAGGAACACCAGUGGCGAAGGCGGCUCUCUGGUCUGUAACUGACGCUGAGGCUCGAAAGCGUGGGGAGCGAACAGGA